GGUGAACGCUAGCGGCAGGCCUAAUACAUGCAAGUCGAGGGGUAGAAGAGGCUUGCUUCUUUGAGACCGGCGCACGGGUGCGUAACGCGUAUGCAACCUACCUUCAUCUGGGGGAUAGCCCGGAGAAAUCCGGAUUAAUACCGCAUAAAAUCACAGGAUGGCAUUAUCCAAUGAUCAAACAUUUAUGGGAUGGAGAUGGGCAUGCGUGUCAUUAGCUAGUUGGCGGGGUAACGGCCCACCAAGGCGACGAUGACUAGGGGAUCUGAGAGGAUGGCCCCCCACACUGGUACUGAGACACGGACCAGACUCCUACGGGAGGCAGCAGUAAGGAAUAUUGGUCAAUGGAGGCAACUCUGAACCAGCCAUGCCGCGUGCAGGAAGACUGCCCUAUGGGUUGUAAACUGCUUUUAUUCGGGAAUAAACCUUAUUACGUGUAAUAAGCUGAAUGUACCGAAGGAAUAAGGAUCGGCUAACUCCGUGCCAGCAGCCGCGGUAA
rnacentral:rRNA from 1 species